rnacentral:rRNA from 1 species
GAUGAACGCUGGCGGCGUGCCUAAUACAUGCAAGUCGAGCGAACGGACGAGAAGCUUGCUUCUCUGAUGUUAGCGGCGGACGGGUGAGUAACACGUGGAUAACCUACCUAUAAGACUGGGGUAACUUCGGGAAACCGGAGCUAAUACCGGAUGAUAUUUUGAACCGCAUGGUUCAAAAGUGAAAGACGGUCUUGCUGUCACUUAUAGAUGGAUCCGCGCUGCAUUAGCUAGUUGGUAAGGUAACGGCUUACCAAGGCAACGAUGCAUAGCCGACCUGAGAGGGUGAUCGGCCACACUGGAACUGAGACACGGUCCAGACUACUACGGGAGGCAGCAGUAGGGAAUCUUCCGCAAUGGGCGAAAGCCUGACGGAGCAACGCCGCGUGAGUGAUGAAGGUCUUCGGAUCGUAAAACUCUGUUAUUAGGGAAGAACAUAUGUGUAAGUAACUGUGCACAUCUUGACGGUACCUAAUCAGAAAGCCACGGCUAACUACGUG